UACGAAGGGGGCUAGCGUUGCUCGGAAUCACUGGGCGUAAAGGGUGCGUAGGCGGGUUUUUAAGUCAGGGGUGAAAUCCUGGAGCUCAACUCCAGAACUGCCUUUGAUACUGGAGAUCUUGAGUCCGGGAGAGGUGAGUGGAACUGCGAGUGUAGAGGUGAAAUUCGUAGAUAUUCGCAAGAACACCAGUGGCGAAGGCGGCUCUCUGGGACGGUACUGACGCUGAGACGCGAAAGCGUGGGGAGCGAACAGG
rnacentral:rRNA from 1 species